GGUUAUAUGGCCGUGUGAAGGGCCCUGACUCACUUGUGCCUAGCAGGGACAGUAAACAACUGCACCCUUCUCUCACAGAAUGUCAAGGUUUACUUUAAUAGGAAUCAUAGUUAUGGUAUAGCUAUCUUAUUACUCGAGGACAUUAAUCAACAGAUUUAUUUAUUCGCCAGAGGCUUUCCUCAUUCAAACACCUCUGUUUGCUCCAGCACCUGAGCUUUUAUAUUUGAAUACCGCCAGUAUCUUGCUGCAAUACUCUGGCAAGCUGUUCUUAGUCAGCCCCUCUUGCAAUGUUGCUAACUCUUCCACUUCGGGGAAUGAUUUUAUCCUUGAUGCUGCUGUAAGAUUAAAGCUGUUCUCAUUUUCUACCCUAAGCCAAAUAGAUGCAUAAGCAAGCUGUUUGAUUGUUUCACUGUCACCGCAGUAGUACAAUAUUACCUUGCAUUUUAUUUUAUUUUAUUUCAUUUCUCUUUCAAUGCUUAACUGGAGGUAGCAUAACACUGGUCAUUUGCAAGUCAAAUGCGGACAAAAGGUGGAAAAGAGAUAUUACCAGCCUGAAUGAGCCAAGUAAAAAGGAUAUGCCAGCUGAAGAAGAUACAGUGCAAUGAGUUGGACUGGAGUGCCAUUUUGUCCUUCACUUCAAGCGACGACAUUUCUGGAUCGGUCCUUUACCAUGUGUAAAAACAUAAUCAGCAGAAGAGUUUAAAUCAUCUGAAUUGUGACUUCAGGUUAAAGAAAGUCACUGAAGCUAGUGGUUCAUUAAGGACUGUGCAGCAUAAGUGACUGUAUUUUGACAAAGCAAAAUAAAU